rnacentral:tRNA from 1 species
GGCUUGCUGGUCUAGUGGUAUGAUUCUCGCUUUGGCUGCGAGAGGUCACGGGUUCGAUUCCCGUGCAAGCCC